rnacentral:ribozyme from 1 species
GUAUCUCUUUUUUUUUCUCCUCUUUUUCUUCUUCUUUUUCCUUCUUU